CCCUUUGGGGUGUGACUGCGUACCUUUUGUAUAAUGGGUCAGCGACUUAUAUUCUGUAGCAAGGUUAACCGUAUAGGGGAGCCGUAGGGAAACCGAGUCUUAACCGGGCGUUAAGUUGCAGGGUAUAGACCCGAAACCCGGUGAUCUAGCCAUGGGCAGGUUGAAGGUUGGGUAACACUAACUGGAGGACCGAACCGACUAAUGUUGAAAAAUUAGCGGAUGACCUGUGGCUGGGGGUGAAAGGCCAAUCAAACCGGGAGAUAGCUGGUUCUCCCCGAAAGCUAUUUAGGUAGCGCCUCGUGAAUUCAUCUCCGGGGGUAGAGCACUGUUUCGGCUAGGGGGCCAUCCCGGCUUACCAACCCGAUGCAAACUGCGAAUACCGGAGAAUGUUAUCACGGGAGACACACGGCGGGUGCUAACGUCCGUCGUGAAGAGGGAAACAACCCAGACCGCCAGCUAAGGUCCCAAAGUCAUGGUUAAGUGGGAAACGAUGUGGGAAGGCCCAGACAGCCAGGAUGUUGGCUUAGAAGCAGCCAUCAUUUAAAGAAAGCGUAAUAGCUCACUGGUCGAGUCGGCCUGCGCGGAAGAUGUAACGGGGCUAAACCAUGCACCGAAGCUGCGGCAGCGACGCUGAUGCGUUGUUGGGUAGGGGAGCGUUCUGUAAGCCUGCGAAGGUGACCUGUGAGGGUUGCUGGAGGUAUCAGAAGUGCGAAUGCUGACAUAAGUAACGAUAAAGCGGGUGAAAAGCCCGCUCGCCGGAAGACCAAGGGUUCCUGUCCAACGUUAAUCGGGGCAGGGUGAGUCGACCCCUAAGGCGAGGCCGAAAGGCGUAGUCGAUGGGAAACGGGUUAAUAUUCCCGUACUUGGUGUUACUGCGAAGGGGGGACGGAGAAGGCUAUGUUGGCCGGGCGACGGUUGUCCCGGUUUAAGCGUGUAGGUGUGUGUUCCAGGUAAAUCCGGUUCACUUUAACACUGAGGCGUGACGACGAGGCACUACGGUGCUGAAGCAACAAAUGCCCUGCUUCCAGGAAAAGCCUCUAAGCAUCAGGUAACAUCAAAUCGUACCCCAAACCGACACAGGUGGUCAGGUAGAGAAUACCAAGGCGCUUGAGAGAACUCGGGUGAAGGAACUAGGCAAAAUGGUGCCGUAACUUCGGGAGAAGGCACGCUGACACGUAGGUGAAGUGAUUUACUCAUGGAGCUGAAGUCAGUCGAAGAUACCAGCUGGCUGCAACUGUUUAUUAAAAACACAGCACUGUGCAAACACGAAAGUGGACGUAUACGGUGUGACGCCUGCCCGGUGCCGGAAGGUUAAUUGAUGGGGUCAGCGCAAGCGAAGCUCCUGAUCGAAGCCCCGGUAAACGGCGGCCGUAACUAUAACGGUCCUAAGGUAGCGAAAUUCCUUGUCGGGUAAGUUCCGACCUGCACGAAUGGCGUAAUGAUGGCCAGGCUGUCUCCACCCGAGACUCAGUGAAAUUGAACUCGCUGUGAAGAUGCAGUGUACCCGCGGCAAGACGGAAAGACCCCGUGAACCUUUACUAUAGCUUGACACUGAACAUUGAGCCUUGAUGUGUAG
rnacentral:rRNA from 1 species